CCUACGGGGGGCAGCAGUGGGGGAUAUUGCACAAUGGGGGGAACCCUGAUGCAGCGACGCCGCGUGGGUGAAGGAGUAUUUCGGUAUGUAAAGCCCUAUCGGCAGGGAAGAAUUUAGACGGUACCUGACUAAGAAGCCCCGGCUAACUACGUGCCAGCAGCCGCGGUAAUACGUAGGUGGCAAGCGUUGUCCGGAUUUACUGGGUGUAAAGGGCGUGUAGCCGGGUUGACAAGUCAGAUGUGAAAUCCUGCGGCUUAACCGCAGAACUGCAUUUGAAACUGUUGAUCUUGAGUACUGGAGAGGCAGACGGAAUUCCUAGUGUAGCGGUGAAAUGCGUAGAUAUUAGGAGGAACACCAGUGGCGAAGGCGGCCUGCUGGACCGCGACUGACGUUGAGGCUCGAAAGCGUGGGGAGCGAACAGGAUUAGAUACCCCUGUA
rnacentral:rRNA from 1 species